UGCCCCAUUCUCAAAGAGAAUAGGCACUGUUGAUCAUGCGAUCCAGAGAUUGUUAAUGGGGCUACAUUGAGAAACAAGCUAUGUUUCCAUUCACAGCAAACACAUCGCAGUGGUGACAAUGAGACCUGUAACAUUU
ensembl:snoRNA